rnacentral:rRNA from 1 species
GACGAACGCUGGCGGCGUGCUUAACACAUGCAAGUCGAACGGAAAGGCCCUGCUUUUGUGGGGUGCUCGAGUGGCGAACGGGUGAGUAACACGUGAGUAACCUGCCCUUGACUUUGGGAUAACUUCAGGAAACUGGGGCUAAUACCGGAUAGGAGCUCCUGCUGCAUGGUGGGGGUUGGAAAGUUUCGGCGGUUGGGGAUGGACUCGCGGCUUAUCAGCUUGUUGGUGGGGUAGUGGCUUACCAAGGCUUUGACGGGUAGCCGGCCUGAGAGGGUGACCGGCCACAUUGGGACUGAGAUACGGCCCAGACUCCUACGGGAGGCAGCAGUGGGGAAUAUUGCACAAUGGGCGGAAGCCUGAUGCAGCAACGCCGCGUGCGGGAUGACGGCCUUCGGGUUGUAAACCGCUUUCGCCUGUGACGAAGCGUGAGUGACGGUAAUGGGUAAAGAAGCACCGGCUAACUACGUGCCAGCAGCCGCGGUGAUACGUAGGGUGCGAGCGUUGUCCGGAUUUAUUGGGCGUAAAGGGCUCGUAGGUGGUUGAUCGCGUCGGAAGUGUAAUCUUGGGGCUUAACCCUGAGCGUGCUUUCGAUACGGGUUGACUUGAGGAAGGUAGGGGAGAAUGGAAUUCCUGGUGGAGCGGUGGAAUGCGCAGAUAUCAGGAGGAACACCAGUGGCGAAGGCGGUUCUCUGGGCCUUUCCUGACGCUGAGGAGCGAAAGCGUGGGGAGCGAACAGGCUUAGAUACCCUGGUAGUCCACGCUGUAAACGGUGGGUACUAGGUGUGGGGUCCAUUCCACGGGUUCCGUGCCGUAGCUAACGCUUUAAGUACCCCGCCUGGGGAGUACGGCCGCAAGGCUAAAACUCAAAGGAAUUGACGGGGCCCCGCACAAGCGGCGGAGCAUGCGGAUUAAUUCGAUGCAACGCGUAGAACCUUACCUGGGUUUGACAUGGAUCGGGAGUGCUCAGAGAUGGGUGUGCCUCUUUUGGGGUCGGUUCACAGGUGGUGCAUGCCUGUCGUCAGCUCGUGUCGUGAGAUGUUGGGUUAAGUCCCGCAACGAGCGCAACCCUUGUUCACUGUUGCCAGCACGUUAUGGUGGGGACUCAGUGGAGACCGCCGGGGUCAACUCGGAGGAAGGUGGGGAUGACGUCAAGUCCUCGUGCCCCUUAUGUCCAGGGCUUCACGCAUGCUACAAUGGCUGGUACAGAGAGUGGCGAGCCUGUGAGGGUGAGCGAAUCUCGGAAAGCCGGUCUCAGUUCGGAUUGGGGUCUGCAACUCGACCUCAUGAAGUCGGAGUCGCUAGUAAUCGCAGAUCAGCAACGCUGCGGUGAAUACGUUCCCGGG